GCCUUUUGCCUAUCGUAGAAAGUAUUACUAUUAUGGUGGUGACAAGCUUGCAAAAUCGUUAGUACUCUGGUUGAAAGGAUUAGCGCCAUUUUGUCCGUCUCUGUGUUCUGAGUUCAAAUUCCGCUGAAGUCAACUUUGCUUUUCAUCCUUUCAGGGUCGAUAAACUAAGUGCCAGUCAAGUACUGGGGUCGAUGUAAUUGACUAGCUCCCUCCCCCAAAUUUCAGUAGAGAGGAUUAUUAUUAUUAUUAUUAUUAUUAAGGUGACGAGCUGGCAGAAUCGUUAGCAAUGCCAAACAAAAUGCUUUGCGGCAUUUCGUCCAUCUUUAUGUUUCGUUGUUGUUGUUAUUCUAAAUGACGAUUUUAUUAGGGCAGUGGUUGGCAGGUUCUGUCGUGAGGUGGGGGGAAAUGCCUUGCACCAAAUACUUCAGGGUCUGAGUUGAAAUCCCAUCAGGUCAAGUUUGCCAGUCUUUAAUCCAGGGGUCAUGAUAUAUAUAUAUAUAUAUAUAGAUAUAUAUAUAGUGCUUAGAGGUCGGUUGAAUGUCUUGCCUCUCCCCCACAUUUCCCCUCCCCUCCAAUUUCUGGCCUUGGGCCUAUGUUAGACAAUAUUACUGUUAUUGUUAUUUUUCAAAUUAUUAUUGCCCUAUUUUCAUAUACACAUGCAUAUAAUAUUUAUAUAUAUAUAUAUAUAUACAUACGUGUGGAUGUGUGUGUGUGUGUGUAGUGGAUCUCCUUGUGGCUAAUGCUACGCAUUUUGAUUCAUUCAAAUGUGAGUGCGGAUUUCCACAGAAAUAAUCUGUAAUUAUUUAAUUACUUUGAUAAAUCGAAAUAAUUUAGAGUUACUAUAUAUAUAUAUAUAUAUAUAUAUAUAUAUAUAUAUAUAUACACACACAUACAUAUAUGUUAUGUAUACUCAUAUAUAUUUAUACGUAUGUACAUUUAUGUGUAAUUACAUGUGUGUCUGUAUAUGUGCAUAUAUGUAUAUAUAUAUGUAUGUAUAUUCAGCUGUUUCAUACAUCACUUGUACAUACAAACACAUACAUACAUGUGUGUGUGUGUGUGUAUAUAUAUAUAUAUGUAUAUGUGUGUGUGUGUGUGUAUAUAUGUAUAUAUAAUUGGAUUUUAGAAAUAUAUUAAAAUAUGCGUGUGUGGAAUGUGUAUAUGUGUGAGUGCAGUGUUGUUAAUGUUAAUAAUUAAUGUUGAUUAACGAUUAUUGUUAACGCUGAUAAUAUGUUUGUUACAAGAUGAUCUUGAUAAUAAUGUUAAUGAUGUUAAUAAUGAUGAUGAUAAUGAUAAUAAUGGUGAUGAUGAUGAUAAAUAAUGAUUUCUGAUAAUGUUAAUUAAUAAUUAUGAUGAUGAAGAUUAUGAUAAUGAUGAUGAUGAUAAAUUUUUCAGUUAUAUUAAAUGGGAAAAAAUAAAUAAAUAUACUUUAAAAAAAAAGAAAAUUUUUAAAAAAAAUAUGUACAUGAAAUAAAAAAAAAUUUACAGAAACUAAAAUUAUAAUAAUAAUAAUGAUAAUAAUAAUGAUGAUGAUGAUGAUAAUAAUAAUUUUAAAAAAUUGUAUAUCUCUAUUUUUCUCUGGUAUUGAAUGGAUGUUAUCGACAUAUAUACACAAGCAAAACACUAAUAUAUACAUACAUGACAUAUAUAUAUAUACACAAGAAGAAGAAGAAGAAGAAGGAGAUUAAAAGACUCGAGACAUUUUAAUAAAAAAUAUUUGGUCAAAGAAAUUCAAUUUGAAAAAGUGAAAAAUUGUUAGAAAAAAAUGAUAAAUAAAAUUUUAAAAUAAACACGUUUUUUUAAUUUUUUUAAUCUUUUAUGUUUUGUUUUGGUCAUUGGACUGCAGCCAUGCUGGAGUGCUUCCUUGAAGGGCUUUUAUUGAAAUUGACUCUGAUCCUUUUUUUUCUUUUUCUUUUUAGGCUUGUACUUAUUAUAUCAGUCCCUUUUGCCAAACUGCUAAGUUACGAGGGACAUAGACACACCAACACCAGUUAUCAAGCGAUCGUGGGAGAUGCAGAUAUAUAUGUGUGUGUGUAGUGAGCUUCUUUCAGUUUCCAUCUAUUGAAUCUACUCACAAGGCCCGAGACAAUAGGGGAAAACACCUGCCUGAGGGGCCACGGAGUGGGAUUGAACCCAGAACCCUGCAGUUUGUACAUGACUCUGCUGUCUCCUGUCCCAGGGUCUCACGAGCCCACACCCUCAGGGUUGGCACUCUCAAUGUCGGCACACUGAAAGAUGGCUACGGCAACAAGAAGUAUAACUGCUCUACUGCUGAUCGUCAGCCUCUUCUGUUUUGUUGCUGGCUGGAAAAGAACAUGCACUUGUCCCUCCACAGUGGUCCAGCCUGCCAACAAACAGAACCCAGUUUCCAGUGAUGUCCCCAUUGUGAGGAAUGUUCUAGACCAGCUGUCAUUGUGUCCAUGGAAGAUGGAAAUGGAUUUUGACCAACAUAGAAUGCCAGCCAGUUUGAUCUAUGCCAAAUUGCAAACAUCAGCCUACUGCAACAACAUGGAACGACAAUGCAUGGCUGUUACAGAAACAGUCAAUGUCACUGUACGAUGCUCAGACAGCAGAUGUGUGACAUGCACCGAAGACAUCCCCAUCGCAUUUGUAUGUGCCAUGCGGCAUGUAGUUGUAAUUAACUAAGGAAGUUUCUACCAGAGGGUCAUGGUUAUCUACUGCCAAUGUUGUCAUUUCCAUUUAUGGUAGUUCUACCCAAGACAGCAGACAUGUUUCUCUUCCAAGAAUGCAAGCCACGAUAAGAACUAUUUAUCAAUUAAUUUAUUAAUUACUAUUUUCAAAUGAUAUAUAUUUACAAAAAGGAAAAGGUUUUUAGUGAUUUGUAAUGAACUCCUAUAAAGACUUCAAAUAACUUUGAAAGAUUUAUUCUAAACAGUUGUCACUAGGUAUUUGUUUGCUUUCUCUCAGCUAAGAAUGGAGAGUUUAAUUAAAUAUUUAUUGCAUACAUUAGUUAGUAUGCAGCUCAUUAAUUCCACUAUUUAUAUCUUUCAUUUACACACAAAACACCACACAUACAUGCAUGCACACACACACCUAUGAAACCACUCAAACAUGUACAUAUAUUUAUUUUUACACAGAAAUGCAGAGUUUUUAAUUUAUUUUAUACCCCAUAUACCUAUACAUACAAUAUAAUAUGCGUGCACACACGUUUAUUUCCUCAAGAUGCACAUAUUAUCUAUUUAUUUAUUUCAACACACACAAACACACAUUUAUUUAUUUAUUUUCAUAUAUAUAUAUAUAUGUGUGUGUGUAUAUAUAUAUAUAUAUAUAUAUAUAUAUACACAUACACACACACACAUGCACAUACAUACACACAUAAGGAUGUGAACACACAAUUAUUUAUUUUCAACCUCCCCACCAUAUAUUUAUAUAUAUACACACACACACACACACAUAAGGAUGUGAACACACAAUUAUUUAUUUUCAACCUCCCCACCAUAUAUUUAUAUAUAUACACACACACACACACACAUAAGGAUGUGAACACACAAUUAUUUAUUUUCAACCUCCCCACCAUAUAUUUAUAUAUAUAUAAGCCUGUCCUUUUCAAACUACAAUGUCUGAAGAAGUGAUUGAACUUUAAAUUUAUAACAUAAAUUGCCGAACUUUGUAUGUAAUGUGAAAUAAAUGGCGUUUGAUUACUGAAACAUU